rnacentral:lncRNA from 1 species
AUUAGGGUUUUAAAUCCUAAACUGAACUUUUUCCUUCCAGUCAGCAUUAGGGUUUUAAACCCUAAACUGAACUUUUUCCUUUAGUCUGCAUUAGGGGUUUUAAACCCUAAACUGAACUUUUCUAUUCAGCCAGCAUUAGGGUUUUAAACCCUAAACUGAACUCUUUCCUUUAGUCAGCAUUAGGGUUUUAAACCCUAAACUGAACUCUUUCCUUUAGUCAGCAUUAGGGUUUUAAACCCUAAACUGAACUUUUUCCUUUCAGUCAGCAUUAGGGUUUUAAACCCUAAGCUGAACUUUUUCCCUUUAGUCAGCAUUUGGGUUUUAAACCCUAAACUGAACUUUUUCCAUUCAGCCAGCAUUAGGGUUUUAAACCCUAAACUGAGCUUUUCCAUGCAGUCAGCAUUAGGGUUUUAAACCCUAAACUGAACUUUUUCCUUUCAGUCAGCAUUAGGGUUUUAAACCCUAAACUGAUCUUUUUCCUUUAGUCAGCAUUAGGGUUUUAAACCCUAAACUGAACUUUUUCCUUUCAGUCAGCAUUAGGGUUUUAAACCCUAAACUGAGCUUUUCCAUGCAGUCAGCAUUAGGGUUUUAAACCCUAAACUGAACUUUUUCCUUCCAGUCAGCAUUAGGGUUUUAAACCCUAAACUGAACUUUUUCCCUUUAGUCAGCAUUUGGGUUUUAAACCCUAAACUGACUUUUUCCAUUCAGCCAGCAUUAGGGUUUUAAACCCUAAACU